rnacentral:rRNA from 1 species
CUGACUACUCGUGCAGCAGCGCAGUAAGACGGAGGCUGGGAGUCGAUAUCGUAAUACUGGGCGUAAAGCCGCAUGCAGGUGGUUUGUUAAGUCAAGAUAACGAAAGCCCGGCGGCUCCAACGUCAGGAAUUGCAUUUGAAACUGGCAGAGUAGAGUACUGUAGAGGGGGGUAGAAUUUCAGGUGUAGCGGUGAAAUGCGUAGAGAUCUGAAGGAAUACCGGUGGAGAAGGCGGCCCCCUGGACAGAUACUGACACUCAGAUGCGAAAGGGGGGGGAGCCAACAGGAUUAGAUAUCCUGGUAGUCCACGCCGUAAACGAUGUCUACUUGGAGGUUGCGGCCUUGAGCCGUUGCUUUCGGAGCUAACGCGAUAAGUAGACCGCCUGGGGAGUACCGUCGCAAGAUUAAAAAUCAAAUGAAUUGACGGGGGCCCGCACCAGCGGUGGAGCAUGUGGUUUAAUUUGAUGCAACGAGAAGAACCUUACCUACUCUUGACAUCCAGAGAACUUUCCAAAGAAGGAUUGGUGCCUUCGGGAACUUUGAAACAGGUGCUGCAUGGCUGUCGUCAGCUUGUGUUGUGAAAUGUUGGGUUAAGUCCCGCAACGAGCGCCACCCUUAUCCUUGUUUGCCAGGGAGUAAUGUCGGGAACUCCAAGGAGACUGCCGGUGAUAAACCGGAGGAAGGUGGGGACGACGUCAAGUCAUCAUGGCCCUUACGAGUAGGGCUACACACGUGCUACAAUGGCGCAUACAGAGGGCGGCCAACUUGCGAAAGUGAGCGAAUCACAAAAAGUGCGUCGUAGUCCGGAUUGGAGUCUGCAACUCGACUCCAUGAAGUCGGAAUCGCUAGUAAUCGUGGAUCAGAAUGCCACGGUGAAUAUUUUCCCCGGCCUUGUACACACCGCCCGUCACACCAGGGUAUUUUUUU